GACAGGGGGGGCAAGCGUUGCUCGGAAUCACUGGGCGUAAAGGGCGCGUAGGCGGGAUGGCAAGUCAGUCGUGAAAUCUCUCGGCUCAACCGAGAAACGUCGGCUGAUACUGCCGUUCUUGAGGGAUGCAGAGGAGACUGGAAUUCCCGGUGUAGCGGUGAAAUGUGUAGAGAUCGGGAGGAACACCGGUGGCGAAGGCGGGUCUCUGGGCAUUUCCUGACGCUGAGGCGCGAAAGCGUGGGGAGCAAACGGG
rnacentral:rRNA from 1 species